AGGCAGGACCACAGCAGCAGGUUCAGAGAGGAUCCUGGGAAAACCUGUGAUGAUCCAGGGAAAACCUGUGGAGUGAUAAAGCACAGAGACUCCAGGGAAGAAGUCAAGUCAUCCUAGACAUAUUCCAUAUAACUAAUCUUAAAGAGCUUCUUAAACAGUCACUAUUUUAAGAUCAAACGUAUAAGGGUAUCUUUUGGCUCUAGACCACAGACAGUUUUGUUUUUCUAUUUCUGUUCUAAAAUGGCUCUUAAGAUAGCAAAGAUGUUAAUGCAAGAUCUGAACAGGCCCUUCGCUGGGGAUGUUGACAACAAAUGAUCAGCAGACUUAUCAGGAUACUGCUUCAAAUAAUUACAAUUAUCAUUUUCAUGAAAGGAUUUGUGUAGCAAGAAAAGGGCCUCAACAUUUUUAAACAGUUUAUUGUGUGCUGCCGAAUGGAAGGAGGAAGUGUGUAAAGUGCUGGUGUCCAAUCAAACAUCUCUAGAGUAUGGCUGGGAGAUAUCGUAUAUACUGUACCUGUGAUGAGCACAGGCUCAUUUGCCAGAUAUUUAUUUUGCAAGAGUUCCUUUUAAUAGAGGUUACAUUGUAUAGUGUUCUGUGUCACUGAUGUUCACCUUUACUGCUGUUCUCCAGGUGCCUACAGAGAGAGUGAACAUACUGUAUGAUACUGAAAACUCAGACAUCAUCAAUUGAUAUGUAAAUUUUAGCAAAAUAACCCAGAUAUAAAUAUUAAAAGAUUAAUUUAAUACAUAAAUUGAACUAUUGUUAAAAGUUAUGAUGCAAUGUUAUUUUGCUUUUCUGUUUUUUCUACAGUUGCUGGUCAAUUGUAGCUCACAUCUCUAUGUAGAAAUAUUUUUGUAAUCAAAUGUCUUCUUUCAUUCUCAAUGUGAGAAAGAUUUGGAUUCAGAUUUCAUAUAGCUGUACUGGACUCAAUACUGGACUUUGAGUUGUGUCUGAUAUUUCUAUGGAGUACAUUCAGAAGGAUACUGCUCCAGAUGUUUGUUAUGGACUGGAGAAAAAUAUUUCUUACCAUCCACCAGGUCUUAGAGUCAACUUUAAGGCUAAUAUACAAUUAAAAGGGAACAUCUUCUACUUCUUGUAUUUAGCAUGUGGCUGAAACACAACUUAAACUACAUCCAUUUAAAUAUGGAUCAAAUGUAACCAUAGUUUAGGUGAAGGAUUCCACGAAAAGAAGCUAUACACAAACAAAAUGUUGUCUUUCAGGAAAAUGCAGCAUUAUUUUUAUGGCGUGCAUUUACAUGAACUUGUUCUGACAGCAGGAAGGAGUAUUUAAAUGUUGAAAUGUAAUCUGCACACAACAGCAUAUGAAAUGUACCAUUAGUCACAAAUAUUUAACAACUCCUCAGUAAAACUGCAGGUAAUUUGAAGAUGAUCAUGUUCAUAAUCUACUGUACAGGCCUAAACGUACUGACAAGGAAAUUGCAACAAUGCAGGUUCAGGUCAUUUUAUUCAUACCCAUAAGUACAUGUGUCUUGCAGUGAUUUCUCAUUCACACACAUUGUUUAACAGUUCCUCAUUCAAACAUAAAUGACCAGCAUGCAUGUUAAGAAUCUCAUUUUAACAUGCCACCUGUUUUGAUCAAUACAUCCUCACUGGAAAAAUAAAACCUCACCGGAAAAGGAGAAUGCAAGUGGAAUGAAAAACCAGCCACUGACAGUUGAGCUUUCAUGGUGAUGACCUAGUGUUUAAAAACCUUGGUAUUUCUGUACCAAGGAGGCAGCAGCAAGCAGAACUCUGGAAGUUCGAUCUGUUGUUUCUGUUUUCUGCUGUAUCUUUGCAUAUGCAAAAAUAUACCUGCCUUAACCCCGA